ACUGUCCAGAGGAGGAAAGUCAGAUGGGGCUGCAUGAACCCACAGCCCACAGAUGUGGCACGAGACAGCCUGGUGUGAUGGCGGGGGCAGGCCCAUGCGAAAGGCAGGCACUCUCGCCCUCCCCUCCUCUCCCACUCUACAUCUAGACCUCAAGCCACGGCCACACGCGACACCACAGCAGCUGGGCAGCCCUCUGGCAAGCCUGGGACAGCAGGGAUGACAAGGAGCUGAAGAAAGUAACCCAGACAAAGCCUCGUUUCCAGAGAUUGUCUCUUGAGGACUUGGGGCUGUGAGAUUCUGGAAAUGUGGGAAGAUUUGGUCCAGCUGGACAAACUCCCAUCCCCAGGGAAUCAGGUGGGCAGAGGGCAGAAGGAGUCCUUUGUGCCAGUCCCAGGCCCUUGGCUGGGAUGACCUGGACACAGGAACCGUGCCAUGGGCUGCCCCGUCACCUCAAGGUCAGCAAGUUGGCUUGGGCGGCAGGAAGAAGUGGCUUGGGCCUCCCACCACCAGCGGCCAACUGAGCUGGCGCCGGGGGCUCUCCUCCCACUGCGACUCCCCCUGGUCUAAGUGGGCAGCAGGCGGCAUCAUCUGAACUCCGUGAUAACAGUCUCCUUUAGGCUGGCCGGGGGCCGGGCGGGCCAGUGGCCCAGGGGGCACUGCUGGCUGCAGAGCCCCGCCGGCCUGGCCCCCCACACCCUUUCCCCAGCUCGGGCACGUUACCUGCUGUGCCAAUGAGUUUCUUGGAUUUGUUGAAGAUCUGAUCACCUGGGUUAGGAGGUGGUGCUACGUCCUGGCCCUGCCGCGCCAGCAGAGGGUUGUAAUCCUUUCCAUCAUAGUUUGCGUCAAAGAAUUUCUUAAACCACUGAAUAAACUCAAAAUUAUCUUGGAAUUUUCCUUUCACUAAUUUCUCUACAGGAAUGAUCUGAAAUAGACCACAGAAGCAGAGAACUUUAACCUCCGGCUGCUGCACAGCUGCCGUCCUU